GCAUUGGUGGUUCACUGGUAGAAUUCUCGUCUGCCACGCAAGAGACCAGAGUACGUUUUCUGGCCAAUGCA
rnacentral:tRNA from 1 species